rnacentral:rRNA from 1 species
CACGGGGGGAGCAAGCGUUGUUCGGAAUCACUGGGCGUAAAGGGCGUGUAGGCGGUCAGGUAAGUGGAAUGUGAGAGCCCUCGGCUCACCCGAGGAUCUGCAUUCCAAACUGCCUGGCUUGAGUAUGGGAGAGGAUGAGGGAAUUCCUGGUGUAGCGGUGAAAUGCGUAGAUAUCAGGAGGAACACCGGUGGCGAAGGCGCUCAUCUGGCCCAAUACUGACGCUGAGGCGCGAAAGCUAGGGGAGCAAACGGG